AGAUUGAACGGCUGGCGGCAGGCCUAACACAUGCAAGUCGAACGGUAGCACAGAGAGCUUGCUCUUGGGUGACGAGUGGCGGACGGGUGAGUAAUGUCUGGGAAACUGCCCGAUGGAGGGGGAUAACUACUGGAAACGGUAGCUAAUACCGCAUAACGUCGCAAGACCAAAGUGGGGGACCUUCGGGCCUCACACCAUCGGAUGUGCCCAGAUGGGAUUAGCUAGUUGGUGAGGUAAUGGCUCACCAAGGCGACGAUCCCUAGCUGGUCUGAGAGGAUGACCAGCCACACUGGAACUGAGACACGGUCCAGACUCCUACGGGAGGCAGCAGUGGGGAAUAUUGCACAAUGGGCGCAAGCCUGAUGCAGCCAUGCCGCGUGUAUGAAGAAGGCCUUCGGGUUGUAAAGUACUUUCAGCGAGGAGGAAGGCAUUAAGGUUAAUAACCUUAGUGAUUGACGUUACUCGCAGAAGAAGCACCGGCUAACUCC
rnacentral:rRNA from 1 species